rnacentral:rRNA from 1 species
GACGAACGCUGGCGGCGUGCCUAAUACAUGCAAGUCGAACGCAUUGGGGACGGGUGAGUCACACGUGGGUAACCUCCCAUCAGAGGGGAUAACACUUGGACACAGGUGCUAAACCGAUACUGAUGGAUGGACCCGCGGUUCAUUAGCUAGUGGGUGAGGUAACGGCUAACCAAGGCCACGAUGCAUAGCCGACCUGAGAGGGGGAUGGGCAAAACGGGGACGGAGACAGGGCCCAGACUCCUACGGGAGGCAGCAGUAGGGAAUCUUCGGCAAUGGACGAAAGUCUGACCGAGCAACGCCGCGUGAGGGAAGAAGGUUUUCGGAUCGUAAAACUCUGUUGUUAGAGAAGCGGUAUCUAACCAGAAAGCCACGGCUAACUACGUGCCAGCAGCCGCGGUAAUUC